rnacentral:rRNA from 1 species
CCUACGGGAGGCAGCAGUGAGGAAUAUUGGUCAAUGGACGGAAGUCUGAACCAGCCAUGCCGCGUGCAGGAAGACGGCUCUAUGAGUUGUAAACUGCUUUUGUACAAGGGUAAACCUGAAUACGUGUAUUCAGCUGAAUGUACUGUACGAAUAAGCAUCGGCUAACUCCGUGCCAGCAGCCGCGGUAAUACGGAGGGGGCAAGCGUUAUCCGGAUUUAUUGGGUGUAAAGGGAGCGUAGACGGCAGCAAAAGUCUGGAGUGAAAUCCCGGGGCUUAACCCGGGAACUGCUUUGGAAACUGUGCGGCUUGAGUGUGGGCAGGGUAAGCGGAAUUCGUGGUGUAGCGGUGAAAUGCGUAGAUAUUAGGAAGAACACCGGUGGCGAAGGC